rnacentral:lncRNA from 10 species
AUGUCGCGGCGCAAGCAGGCCAAGCCCCAGCACCUCAACUCCGAGGAGCCUUGCCCUGCGCGCCGGGAAUGUGCGGAGGUGGCCCCGCAGGUGGCGGGGGAGCCGGCUUCAGAGCUUGAUAACGAUGUUCCAAAAGCAGCCUGCCUCUCAACUGAAAGCAGUGACACUCAGAAGACCCCUGUCAUCACUCUUCCCUCAGAGGCAAGGGAGCAAAUGGCCACCCUUGGAGAGAGGACAUUCAACUGUUGCUACCCAGGUUGCCACUUCAAAACUGUGCAUGGCAUGAAAGACUUGGACCGCCAUCUCAGAAUCCAUACGGGUAGGUAUCCACUCUGUUCAACAGCUCAGUAAGAAGAUAGGAAGUGAAUGUGAAUUAAGCACUAGGGACACAGUAAUGAACAGGACGGUCUCUGCCUCAUCUGCCUCGUGAAACUCAGUCUAGUAGGGUGGGCUUGGGAGAAGGAACAAAGGGCUAUGAGAUGAAGAUGAAGAGGUUGCCAGGAUGAGCUACACAGAGGCCUGUGGCUAUAGUAAUCUUCGAAGAGGAAUAAAGUAGCUUCUUAAAGGUGCUUUCUUUUAGGGCAGCGAGCGCUGAGAAGACAAAUAAGAUGUGCUGAAGCAAAGGAGUGCCAUGAUCUAUACCAGGGGUCUACAAACUGCAGCCCAUGGGCAACUCCAGCCUGUUGGCAUGCUCCUUUGUUUACCUAUUGUUUGUAGCUUUCUGGCCUUACAAGGGGGUAGUUGCUACAGGGACUGUAGGGUGCACAAAGCCUUAAAUACUUUUUUUUUUUUUUUUUUUUUUUGAGACAGAGUCCCACUCUGUCACCCAGGCUGGAGUGCACUGGCACAAUCUCAGCUCACUGCAACCCCCGCCUCCCAGGUUCAAGUGAUUCUCCUGCCUCAGCCUUUUGAAAUAGCUGGGAUUACAGGUGCCUGCCACCAUGCCCGGCUAAUUUUUCUAUUUUUAGUAGAGACGGAGUUUCGCAAUGUUGGUCUCGAACUCCUGACCUCAGGUGAUCCACCUGCCUCGGCCUCCUAAAGUGCUGGGCUUACAGGCAUGAGCCACCAGGCCCGUCCUCCCUAAAAUAGCACCUAGUCCUUUACAAAACACUUUGCCAACCCUUAGUCUAUAGUACAAAUCCUAUACUUGUGUGUUUGAGGGAGGAUAUUGGUUUGUUCUUUCAGAAACCACUCUCAGUGGCUUAAAUGUCAUCUGGUUUAUUUCUCGAAUACAGCUUCAGAGGCACAUAGUCCACAGCUGGUCCAGUGGCUCUGCCAUCCUGGACACGUAGCUUAGCCUCUGGGUCUGAGGCAGGUGCUGUAGUUCUCUGCAUCUCUUAGCCAGCGGGCAAUGGAAGCAGACCAGGGGGCCCACGGCAUGCCUCCCUCGGGCUGUAACUCAGAAGCAGCGGCCCUUGUGACCUAGGGGAACAUGAGCGGGACUUAGUCAUGGCCACACUGAGCGUCAAGGGGACAUGAGGGAUGGUUUUAGGAGGGGCAGCACAUGCCCAGAUGAGCCUCUGGAGCCCCUUCACUGAGAGGACAGAGAUUUUUGGACAAAGAUGGCGGUCUCUGUCCAGAAAGAUGGGCAUUGUAAUGUUAUAAUAGAGGGUCACUUUUAAUAGAGGCCCUAUGUAAUAUUUAAUAGAGGGCAUUAUAAUAGAGGGCCACUUUUGCCUGGGGACGGUGCCUCAUGACAAGCGUGUUAGCAAGGAAAUGUUUGAUCUUCACCUUGAAAGACAGACUACCAGGGUGACGAUGUCAGUGAAAGCAUGCAGGUUCCGGAACCCUUUGAGGAAAGAUGAGGCAGCUCAAUUUAAGGAAUUUCAGAGUGGGUGACUCUAUCCUGAAAAUAACUUGAGCGCUUGUUCUCAACUGGGGCUAGGCUACUGCCAUUCAAUGGGUGGAGGCCAAAAAUCUUAAAAUUCAGAAGAUAACCUUCACAAGAAUUAAAGGCCUGGAACGUUCACUGGGCUGGGGUCGACCCCAAGAGAUGUACAGGGGCUGGAUUAAUGUUUUCUUGAGGUACUGCAGAGCAUGCUGGGGGUCCAGGACAUAUAACGUAAGGCCUUGUUCUUGAGUGGGGGAAGCAGACACGCCUCCCUAGUGUAAGCAAACUUAGGCCACUUCUCUGGGCCCAAGGUGACUGCUUUAGUUCUCUGAAUGUAACUAAUGGAAAGUAGGAGAAGAGGCAUGGGGGCCUCACAGUAUUCCUCCCUUGGGGCAUGACCCAGAAGUCGCAUCCUUUGUGACUACUGGGACUCAUGUAAUGGUGGUUUAAAACCAAAGUAUUUCUGCCCCGUGAUGUUCCAGGUGUAAGUGAUCAGGCUGGUGUGGGACCGGCCUGGUGGUUUCAGGGACCCAGACUCUUGCGUUGCUUUGUCAUCCCAAGGGUGCAACUCUCAUUAGCCUGCUCCACAAUGGCCUCCUGCCACCUUAAAGGCACAUCGCUUGGGCUCGCCUGUUUGGCCAGAACUUAAUCACAUGGCCACGCCCAGCUGUGGAAAUGAAGGCUGGGAAAAGGAAGUUUCUCCUGUGUGGUCGUGUGCCCAGCUACAAAGAAGGUUCUGUUACCAAGGGAAGAGGGGAAAGGUCAGGGUGUCUCUGACCCAGCUGUAAGUGGGAGGCAGCGAUUCUAACACGUGGUUCUUUUGGAUUGCCUAAGAAAAUUAACAUAUGCAAAUAAGUUUUCUGUUUAUGACUUUGUACUUGACCUUGUGUGCCUUGGCUUUGGCGCUUCAGUUCAGAUUGAAGAGUAGCAGUCAACGCAAACCAUCUGUCUUAUUUCCUCAUUGUGGGCAUGCUUUGAUGUCGCCAUCGUUGUAGGGUUAGAAGCCCUGGGAUUUUGGUUGAGAUCACUUAUGGCAUUCAAGUUUAUUCCUAGCUUUCUGAGGUUGGUUUUCUGAGGUGUGUGUUUAAUUGGGAAUAGUCGUUGCAUUUCAAAUGUAUUGCGUUUUCCUUUUUAUUUAUUUAUUUAUUUACUUUUUUGAGUCAGGGUCUUGCUCUGUCGCCCAGGCUGGAACACAGUAGCGCGAUCAGGUUCAGGUGAUCCUCAUGUCUCUGCUUCUCGAGUAGCUGGGCUACAGGCAUGCCCCGUUA